rnacentral:tRNA from 1 species
GGAGGUUUAGCUCAGUGGUAGAGAGCUUGCCUAGCAAGCGCAAGGCCCUGGGUUCGGUCCCCAGCUCCG